rnacentral:lncRNA from 1 species
CAGAUUCUAUGAAAUGCAUGAAGCAGAAGAGUUUUUAAAACAACAUUUGAAAUUUAGUCCCGUGCUGAAUGAAAACAUAACAGGUUCUAAGCGAGGAGAAUAAUCUAACAAUUGGGUUUAGCGUCAGUUUACAUAUAAUUAGUGCAAAAUUAGGCAUCUAUUGGUAUUUUAAAUUAAAGAAGAAAAUAAUGUUUCCAGAGCGUAGAGAAUUUUCUGUUAGAACUGGCACUUGGUGAAAAGGAAGCUGGGCAUCCCUGGAAACAACUUGGCUCGCAGCAGAAAGAACAGGAGCAAAACAUCCUAGUGCUAAGUGGAGCGACUGCUGGCCGUGGUUUUGCAGCGUGGAUGAACGUGAUUCAAGAGCUCCAACACAACCUGAUUUUUUUUGUUUCACCAUCCCCACACCUGGAAUUUAGGUCAGCCGGGCUCAUUUCAGGCAAAGCAAGCUGUGAGCGGUGUGCCUCAGUGCCAGCCCCCGCACUGUUAGCAGGAGCUGCCUCUCUGCCUGAUUGCAAAGAACUCAGUCUGGGAUCGACCUUCCCCAGGGCAAUCUGCUCAUCCUGAAGCCAUCUCUGCAUAAUGGUUCUGCAAUAAACAGAUGUGAUCAACAGCA